UUUGUUGCAGGUGUGCGUGAGUGGUGAAAGGUACGAUUUUUGGUUUCUUAUAUUCUACAUAAUCUCUCUCUCUCUCUCUCUCUCUCUCUCUCUCUCUCUCUUUCUCCCAAAAUUUGGUUUAAGAAAAUUUAUACAUGCAAUUCACGUGAUUAUGUAUUUGUACCAAUAAAGAGAUGUUAUGUAAUCAAAGUUCUGAUUUUAUUGCAAGGGGUUUGUAAUUAGUCAAGCUCUUAAGAACGUUUACUUUCGUAGUAUUAAACGGUUAAAAGCAUUAACUUUUGUAAUCCGUGUCCAUUAUAUAUAUGAUUAGGAAACUAAAAAAUAACCGUUGAUUUUAGGAAAUGAAUGGGAAAUUUAGGAACGAGUAAGAACUUUAAAUACUUAGGGAUGCAGAAAGUAAGGAAUAAGUCUCAUUCAUAAUUUUUAGGAAUUUGUAUUACUGAUUUUCUCAAGAAGAAACGAUAUUUUUCUUCUCAUACUCAUUACUAAUAAGUAAACUAAGUCAUAAUGUAUUUUUUUACCAUAAAUUUGUAAUAAAAUUAAAGCGCGCUUAAAAGCAGUUAUAUUGUAAUUUGUAUCCGAGAACUUAUGUUUCAUUCCCUUCUCUCGUUUUCAUUGUCUUUAACGUUUUCUUCUUUUUUUUUUCAAUCUUUAACGUAAUUCUUUCUCAUACGUGCUUUUUGUCUUUGAAGCUAUCGGGUUUUUGGUGAUGGAGUCUUCCCUUUUCACAUACGUAUGUUUUCAGGUUGAAGUAGGUGCAUUCCUUUACUUAUAAUCUAAAAUUGUUCGUAUAUAAAAAUUGGCUUUUACUCUUCUUCUUUCGUUGCCUUGGAUGAACAAUUUAAAGGUCAAAUUUUUAUAUUCUUACCUCUUAAAUUUCUAAUGUGAGGGCGAGCUUUAGCGCAACAAAACAUGUUGCUUCUUUCUGAUCAAAAGAUUACGAGUUUAAAUUGUGAAUCAUCAUCUUUACAAAGUAAAAAUAAGAUUGCGUACGGUAAACAUUCCAUCUGACCAUAUGCUUUGCUAUUUGCUUGUUUAUUACGAGCCAUGAAUAUAUUAGUGGCUAGACUGUGCUUAAUUCUUCCCUUUCUGAUUUAUUAAGCUUCGAAUCCAACAGCCCAAAAAGGUCAUUAAACUUUGAAAAGAAUUAUUCACCUAUUACUACUCCUAACAAUCUUGUUCAUAAAUAAAGUUUCAAAUCAAAUCUCCUUAUGGAGAAAGCAUCACCUCAAUUAUGCUAUGAUUUUCUUCAAUUUUUUCUGUACUGCACUAAAAAAAAUGGAUUUGGAUUGUCUGCCCUCCCAUUUCGGUGCCCUCCUGUUUGUGUGGUCACGUUUAAGCCACGUCAACAUUUUAUAUUACUAUUUUUUUUUGUUUUAUUAUUUUUAUAAAAAAACAAUAUAAAAUAUUGACGUGGCUUAACCGUGACCACAUAAAACAAGAGGGCACCAAAAUGGGAGGGCAGACAAUCCAAAUCCAAAAAAAACAACUUAUUUCCAUUGUUCAUGAUUUUUUUUUAGAGAACUUUAACGAAAAACUCCAAGUACUGUUCACUUUAACGAAAAAAUAUAUUUUUACACUAAAAAGUCAAUCCUGGUACUCUUCACUUUACCCUUUAUUUUGUCUUUAUCGUUAAAACUCAAAGUUUUUAAAUUCUUUUUAUUAGUUUUCAUUUUCUUUUAAUAAUUGUCAUUGAUUUUUUUUUUUUUUUGGUACCGUUUUACCACUUUUUUUAUUUUUAGUAAGAUAUUCAUUAUUUUGGUGAAUAAUGACUAAGUACACAGACGAUAAAAACCCUUCAAGGAUUUCAACUCGACCCAAAGGGAAAAAAAAAAAUCCCACACGUUUCUCUGUAACGUUAAUGUUUUUACUACUUUAGUCUUUUCUUCUUCUUUCCUGUUCUACUGCAACUCAUUGUUAUUGUAUUAAUAUGAAAAUGAAAGUUAAUGAAUUUCAAUUAUCUCUCUAAUCUUAAUUAGAUGAGCUGGUGAUUAGCAACCAAUCUGACCUAUGUGAGCUAGAGAUUCGUGAAUUGCCGACAUACCCUUUGAGAAGGCAUUAUCUGGAAGGUACAACUGGAGACAAAAAUGUAUGCUGCUAGGAGAUGAGAAACUUAUAUUAUUAAUUAAGCCUUGACUCUUAAACCUUUUU
rnacentral:lncRNA from 1 species